rnacentral:tRNA from 1 species
GCCCCUAUAGCUCAGGGGUAGAGCGCAGCACUUGUAAUGCUGAGGCCGGUGGUUCAAAUCCGUCUGGGGGCA